rnacentral:lncRNA from 1 species
CAAUAUAGGUGAAAAUUUGAAGAAGGCCAACUGAGGAAGAACUCAAGUCGUUUUGAUUGGACCAAGGUCAAGUGUCUCUGUGUUAAGUAUACUUGUUCUGAUGAUUUCCUGAAUUAUCAUCGCAUAAACAAUUGCCGGGUUGAACUAUUGGUCCAGAAUUCCUUCCAUGUGGGACGUUAAGCUAUUUUUUCUUGUUCUGUCUGUGGCUCUAUCAUUUAAUGGUCUUAACGUGAGUUUGGAAUUUGUUGGCCAUCUCUGAUCGGAUAAUGGUGAACAUUGUAUUGCUGGUUUAUAGUUCCUGUUUGCAGCAGCAGCAGCUACUAUGAAGACUCGAUGAGAUGAUGUUUUGCGCUUGACCUGGAGUACAGGAGUUACAACUGUUGAUUUGUAUAUUAAAUUAUACUUAUGAUUUGCAUAUUAAAAUUUACUUGCCCUAUAUUGCAGUAUGAGCACAUUGUGUUACUGGAGUUGCUCAAGAAAGGUCAUUUGGAGCCUGAGAAAAAGAUUGGCAACGGGAUUCAAGCUUUCCAAGUUCAAUUCCAUCCUCAGUUUAGAAGUCGUUGCUUCUUCCUCAUAAGGGAUGAUGAAUCAGUCGAUGAUUUCAGCUUCAGAAAGUGAGUGGAUCACAUACUUCCCCUGCCAGAAAACAUGCAAACAAAAGACGGCGUCAAUGAGGCAUUGUCUGGAGGUGGAAGAGGUAGUCGUGGCUGUGGUGAUAGUGGGAAAUAUCAUUGCUAUUACUCAAACAAGCAUGAAACGUAUACAUGGUCGAGGCCGUGCCAGAGGAUGGUGAAAAUUUUGAGGCAACAGUCUUUUUUGUUUGCAAUGGCUUGUUAAAUAUUGAAAAUAUCAAGUAUGGGUAAAAGAAACAUCAUCUGAUAUUUUUUAUACAUCAUGUCGCAAAAGUAAAACCGCU